rnacentral:lncRNA from 1 species
AGUGGCGGAACUUUGCUCACGACAGGACUAGGGCCAUUCGAAAAAAAUUUAGCACAGACUAAUUGACAGAUAAGAAUAAGUACCUAAUCGAUGAAGAAUUAUUGUAUUUGUUCCACUUAGCUUCUUGUUUCUGCAUCAACAAUCGAAUCAGACCGCAGACCUACGUAAAAAAUGAACACAAGUUAUAUAUAUAACAAUUUUAAGACCGUGUCAAACUUCAAUUAUUUAAUAAACUGAACAUACCAUUAACACUAGUAGCCUGAUGUUGUUUAGGCAACAUUUUCAUGCGAG